GACGAACGCUGGCGGCGUGCUUAACACAUGCAAGUCGAACGGAAAGGCCCUGCUUUUGUGGGGUGCUCGAGUGGCGAACGGGUGAGUAACACGUGAGUAACCUGCCCUUGACUUUGGGAUAACUUCAGGAAACUGGGGCUAAUACCGGAUAGGAGCUCCUGCUGCAUGGUGGGGGUUGGAAAGUUUCGGCGGUUGGGGAUGGACGCGCGGCUUAUCAGCUUGUUGGUGGGGUAGUGGCUUACCAAGGCUUUGACGGGUAGCCGGCCUGAGAGGGUGACCGGACACAUUGGGACUGAGAUACGGCCCAGACUCCUACGGGAGGCAGCAGUGGGGAAUAUUGCACAAUGGGCGGAAGCCUGAUGCAGCAACGCCGCGUGCGGGAUGACGGCCUUCGGGUUGUAAACCGCUUUCGCCUGUGACGAAGCGUGAGUGACGGUAAUGGGUAAAGAAGCACCGGCUAACUACGUG
rnacentral:rRNA from 1 species